AAAGUUAAAAUUUGUUGCCUAGCGUAAUAUGCGUAAUAUAUCAAUUGAUCAUUGUUUCAGCGUAGUUUUUCAAAACGGAAAGUAUUUAUCACCACAUAGAUCUGUAGUAGAGUACAUUUCACAACAACAUAAAAAUGGCUAGUGAAUCGUUUAAGUUAAUUGCCAAAUUUUUUCUCGUCUAGCAACGUAUGUUAUGCGUCUUUUAGUAAUACGCUCAACAUCAUUGUAUACAUUAUGAGUUUCACAAAAAAAAAUCUGGUAAAUCAUUUAGUGGUUUAUAGUCAAAAAUAUCGGACAUACGAUUGUACUCAUUCACACUGAAGUUAACGGUGCCUUGGUUGUAAUUAAAAAUGAGCCAGAGAAUGAGAAAGAAUUUGAAAAAGUAUGAGAGUCCGUUUGGGUGUGAUUGCAGAUUGACCGACACUACGUCGAAUGCAGCCUGUGAAAUUGUUCAGAAAGUCAUCGAUGGAGUGCUGUACAGUUGCUGUGCUCUACACAAACAUCGAGUAAAGUUAUCUUGAAAAUAUGAUAACCCACGCCCGGAAUAUGUUUCGUUUUUUUCGGAAUAAUUUCCUUUUAUUUACUGGAAUACGUUGUACGUUCUGUUCAAAUGUAAUUUUCAAAUAUAUACACAAAAUAAACGAUUUUACGGUUGUUUAAUUGUCGAAGAAUGUAUUGAUAAAUAUUUUGAGGUUUGGUAAAUUUGAGC